UCCUAACUCUGGCGGCGUGCUUAACACAUGCAAGUCGAACGGAAAGGCCCUGCUUUUGUGGGGUGCUCGAGUGGCGAACGGGUGAGUAACACGUGAGUAACCUGCCCUUGACUUUGGGAUAACUUCAGGAAACUGGGGCUAAUACCGGAUAGGAGCUCCUGCUGCAUGGUGGGGGUUGGAAAGUUUCGGCGGUUGGGGAUGGACUCGCGGCUUAUCAGCUUGUUGGUGGGGUAGUGGCUUACCAAGGCUUUGACGGGUAGCCGGCCUGAGAGGGUGACCGGCCACAUUGGGACUGAGAUACGGCCCAGACUCCUACGGGAGGCAGCAGUGGGGAAUAUUGCACAAUGGGCGGAAGCCUGAUGCAGCAACGCCGCGUGCGGGAUGACGGCCUUCGGGUUGUAAACCGCUUUCGCCUGUGACGAAGCGUGAGUGACGGUAAUGGGUAAAGAAGCACCGGCUAACUACGUG
rnacentral:rRNA from 1 species